rnacentral:rRNA from 1 species
UACGUAGGGGGCAAGCGUUAUCCGGAUUCACUGGGCGUAAAGGGAGCGCAGGCGGCAUGGCAAGUCUGAUGUGAAAACCCGGGGCCCAACCCCGGGAGUGCAUUGGAAACUGCCAGGCUGGAGUGUCGGAGGGGUAAGCGGAAUUCCUAGUGUAGCGGUGAAAUGCGUAGAUAUUAGGAGGAACACCAGUGGCGAAGGCGGCUUACUGGACGACUACUGACGCUAAGGCUCGAAAGCGUGGGGAGCAAACAGG